UACGUAGGUGGCAAGCGUUGUCCGGAAUUAUUGGGCGUAAAGCGCGCGCAGGCGGCCUCCUAAGUCCGAUGUGAAAGCCCACGGCUCAACCGUGGAGGGUCAUUGGAAACUGGGGGACUUGAGUGCAGGAGAGAAGAGUGGAAUUCCACGUGUAGCGGUGAAAUGCGUAGAGAUGUGGAGGAACACCAGUGGCGAAGGCGACUCUUUGGCCUGUAACUGACGCUGAGGCGCGAAGCGUGGGAGCAAACAGGAUAGAU
rnacentral:rRNA from 1 species